rnacentral:rRNA from 1 species
GACGAACGCUGGCGGCGUGCUUAACACAUGCAAGUCGAACGGUGAAGCACCUUCCUUUUGGUGGGUGUGGAUGAGUGGCGAACGGGUGAGUAACACGUGAGUAACCUGCCCCCUUCUUCUGGAUAACCGCAUGAAAGUGUGGCUAAUACGGGAUAUUCUGUGCCUGCUGCAUGGUGGGUGUGGGAAAGAUGCGCUUUUGGGUGUUUUUGGUGGGGGAUGGGCUCGCGGCCUAUCAGCUUGUUGGUGGGGUGAUGGCCUACCAAGGCGGUGACGGGUAGCCGGCCUGGGAGGGUGGACGGUCACACUGGGACUGAGACACGGCCCAGACUCCUACGGGAGGCAGCAGUGGGGAAUAGUGCACAAUGGGCGCAAGCCUGAUGCAGCGACGCCGCGUGAGGGAUGGAGGCCUUCGGGUUGUAAACCUCUUUCGCCAGUGAAGCAGGCCUGUCCCUUGUGGGUGGGUUGACGGUAGCUGGAUAAGAAGCGCCGGCUAACUACGUG